GGGUCAUCUAACAGAAAGGAUCUAACAGAGAAACGCAUUAUUCGGCUACAGCAUUACCUCAGCUGCCUGCUUGCCACUAUCCUUUCUUACUCUCAGAUAUUUCAGGAAAUUAGAGUUAUGGAGACUAUAGGGUAUGGUUUGCCAAAUAGGUGGUGAUGAGACACCGCUUUCGUUGAUAUAUGGGGUUUAAAUGGCACAAUUUAUAGAGCAAAUUACUCAUGCACCAUAGGAAAAUGGCACGUCUGUAGAAACCUACUCUGAAAUAUAAGCAGCACGGCAGCUGGUUUUGCAGCAAGGGGAUCCAAUGAGCCUUUAAUAAGGUAUGUACAAUCUCCUGUCAGAGGAUAUCAAAAUGUUGUACAAAGUUUCACAGCACGUUUGUGAGGCAUGAACCAACUAAACCAUUCAGUACAGCUAAGGAAGUCAUCAUGAGGACUAAGUAUAUUUUCCAUUAAUUGAUUUAACCAGAUGUCAGUGUCCUCCUAGAGCAAGACUCAUGAGAAUAUUAUGCCUUAGGCCCAUCAUUUCUAGGGUCGUUGCAUACACAGACACAUCAGAAGACAUGGCCAAUGUGCUUUACAUUAGUCAAAAGUGAUUUACCAAAGCUCGGAUAUAUUUAUACACGUGAGUGCAGAAAAGCUUUUGGUUCUUGAAGCAGGGGCCAACCGAAUCCAAUCCAAGGAUGCCCUGUGUCUAAAACCACACAAUAUAUUAGGUGUCAACAGAAAUCAUAAUUAUUAGCAAUUUGCUUUGCCAGCGAGGUGACAAAUGUCCGUAGGGAACUACCAGCUGUGCCCUUAAACAAACAAUUACAAUAAACCAAUGUUAUCUGCUAAUGUUGGAGCACCAGAAUUCUGGUGUUUACAUUACAUAGUGAGCUGUGUUCCAUUGUGUAAACAAAUGACUUAGAAAAUAAUAAAUCUUCCAUACUUCCGGAAAGAUUUUCAGGCUUCAAGCAAAGAAAAAUAAAGAAGAACUGAAAGCAAGACAGAGUUAAGACAACUUUAAAUAAAACAAAACUCUGCAAAAAUUACUCCAAAAUCUAUUCCGUGUGCCAGAACUCUGAGCUGGCACUACCAACAAACAAUUGUUGUGAACUCACUUCAGCAAAAGUGUACCCUUAGGCUAAAUCAGUCCCAAACCUUACAAUUCCAUGUUAAAUAAAUAACUGAAAAUCAGGAAAUAAGUCUAUUCAUUAACCUUCAGUGAUUUUAUUUUAUUGUUUUGGUGAGGGAAUCACAAGGAUGCAACAAAUCCAUGUUAUUCUCCGCUGCUGAUGAUACCAAGAAGAGGAUAGACUGGAGAAAAGACUCUACAGAAAAGUCCAAAAUGACCUAUAUUUAUACUGGAAUACAUUUUAAUAAUCCUAACUGCCUCGGCAGUGUUUCAUAACUCUCUUUAAACAACAAAGUCUAGAAUAAUUCCCUUUGUGUGCAGUCAAGUAUUAUCUUAAAGCGUUGAAAGAAUGAUUUACCAUGAGAUAAGGCUACAAAAUCCUGGAAUGUAAUUGUUUUUCAGCAAAUUCAUAUAAUAUACUGUGCACAGCUAGCAAGCCUGGAUAACACACCUAUAAGCAGGGCAGCCCUGCCUGGCACACCCACAUGCAGUAGGCCAUGUGCAACAUGGGGGGUUGCUGGAGAAGAUGUAGGGUGGUCUUAAUGAUUAUAUGCACUUGGGGUGAUUAAUGGAAUUUAUGUUGGGACUUUUACUGUAUUAUGAACUAUUUUGAACAAUGUUAAUAAAAUCCAUGUUGAUGGACUAGA